rnacentral:rRNA from 1 species
UACGUAGGGGGCUAGCGUUGUCCGGAAUCAUUGGGCGUAAAGCACGCGUAGGCGGCCCGGUAAGUCCGCUGUGAAAGUCCAGGGCUCAACCCUGGAAAGCCGGUGGAUACUGCCGGGCUAGAGUCCGGAAGAGGCGAGUGGAAUUCCUGGUGUAGCGGUGGAAUGCGCAGAUAUCAGGAGGAACACCAAUAGCGAAGGCAGCUCGCUGGGACGGUACUGACGCUGAGGUGCGAAAGCGUGGGGAGCAAACAGG